rnacentral:rRNA from 1 species
GGCAGUCAGCUGGAACGGUCCUGACGCUCAGGGACGAAAGCGUGGGGAGCGAAAGGGAUUAGAUACCCCUGUAGUCCACGCCGUAAACGAUGGAUACUAAAGAUUGGUAGUCUCGACCCUAUCAGUCUUGUUAUACUCAAGCUAACGCCUUAAGUAUCCCGCCUGGGGAGUACGAGCGCAAGCUUAAAACUCAAAGGAAUAGACGGGGACUCGAACAAGCGGUGGAGCGUGUGGUUUAAUUCGAUUCUAAGCGAGGAACCUUACCAGGGCUUGACAUCUAGCCUAUGUGAAACCUUAACCGGAUGAUCUUAGUGGCUAUGACAGGUGAUGCAUGGUUGUCGUCAGCAUGUGCUGUGAAGUGCACCGUUAACUCGGGUAACAUGCGCAACCCUCGUCCUGUGUUAUUAUGUCACAGGAGACUGCCUCGGUUAACGAGGAGGAAGGUGGGGAUGACGUCAAAUCAGCAUGUCCCUUACGCUCUGGGCUACACACGCGCUACAAUGGCCAGUACAACGGGAAGCCAAAUCGUAAGAUGGAGCUAAUCCUAAUAAACCUGGUCCCAGUUCGGAUUGAGGGCUGCAACUCGCCCUCAUGAAGUUGGAAUCGCUAGUAACCGCGGAUCAGCCUCGCCGCGGUGAAUACGUUCUCGAGUCUUGUACUCACUGCCCGUCAAGUGAAGGAAGCCGGCAAUACCCGAAGCCCCACGUUCGUGGGUCUACGGUAGGGUUGGUGACAGGCACUAAGUCGUAACAAGG